rnacentral:rRNA from 1 species
UACGUAGGGACCAAGCGUUGUUCGGAUUUACUGGGCGUAAAGGGCGCGUAGGCGGCGUGACAAGUCACUUGUGAAAUCUCCGGGCUUAACUCGGAACGGUCAAGUGAUACUGUCGUGCUAGAGUGCAGAAGGGGCAAUCGGAAUUCUUGGUGUAGCGGUGAAAUGCGUAGAUAUCAAGAGGAACACCUGAGGUGAAGACGGGUUGCUGGGGCUGACACUGACGCUGAGGAGCGAAAGCGUGGGGGAGCAAACAGG